GGACUACAGGGGUUUCUAAUCCUGUUUGCUCCCCUAGCUUUCGUGCCUCAGUGUCAGGUGUUGUCCAGGGACUCGCCUUCGCCACUGGUGUUCCUCUUGAUAUCUACGCAUUUCACUGCUACACCAAGAAUUCCAGUCCCCCCUCCAAACCUCCAGCCCGACAGUAUUCAAUGCCAUUUCAGGGUUAAGCCCUGAGCUUUCACAUCAAACUUUUCAGGCCACCUACGCACCCUUUACGCCCAGUGAAUCCGAACAACGCUCGGGACCUCUGUAUUACCGCGGCGGCUGGCAC
rnacentral:rRNA from 2 species